UACGUAGGUGGCGAGCGUUGUCCGGAUUUACUGGGCGUAAAGAGCGCGCAGGCGGCUGGUCAAGUCCGAUGUGAAAGCUCCCGGCUUAACUGGGAAAUUGCAUCGGAAACUGAUCGGCUGGAAGGUGGGAGAGGGUAGCGGAAUUCCCGGUGUAGUGGUGAAAUGCGUAGAUAUCGGGAGGAACACCUAUGGCGAAGGCAGCUCUCUGGGACGGUACUGACGCUGAGACGCGAAAAGCGUGGGGAGCGAACAGG
rnacentral:rRNA from 1 species